rnacentral:rRNA from 1 species
CCUUCGGGAACUGUGAGACAGGUGCUGCAUGGCUGUCGUCAGCUCGUGUUGUGAAAUGUUGGGUUAAGUCCCGCAACGAGCGCAACCCUUAUCCUUUGUUGCCAGCGGUCCGGCCGGGAACUCAAAGGAGACUGCCAGUGAUAAACUGGAGGAAGGUGGGGAUGACGUCAAGUCAUCAUGGCCCUUACGACCAGGGCUACACACGUGCUACAAUGGCGCAUACAAAGAGAAGCGACUUCGCGAGAGCAAGCGGACCUCAUAAAGUGCGUCGUAGUCCGGAUUGGAGUCUGCAACUCGACUCCAUGAAGUCGGAAUCGCUAGUAAUCGUGGAUCAGAAUGCCACGGUGAAUACGUUCCCGGGCCUUGUACACACCGCCCGUCACACCAUGGGAGUGGGUUGCAAAAGAAGUAGGUAGCUUAACCUUCGGGAGGGCGCUUACCACUUUGUGAUUCAUGACUGGGGUGAAGUCGUAACAAGGUAACCGUAGGGGAACCUGCGGUUGGAUCACCUC